rnacentral:lncRNA from 1 species
UGAAUAAGAAUGAGAUAAGGAGUUGGCUUACAAUCGCCACUUCACACAAAACAUAAAUAUAGCAUUACAUCAUCCAGAAUACAAUCAAGGUCCGACUACGGAACCAAAUAAAGAAAUACAACCCCUAAUGCUAGAUCCCCGAUCGCCCCGACUGGGCUCCACUACUGAUCGAAAGGAAACGAAACAACACAACGAACACGAUCUUCAUCGAGCUCCCACUUGAGCUUGGCUGCGCCACCUGCACGGCUAUCAUCGGCACCUGCAACUGUUUGAAGUAAUCUGUGAGUCACAAGGACUCAGCAAUCUCACACCCGCGAGAUCAAGACUAUUUAAGCUUAUGGUUAGGGAAGGGUAGUAAGGUGGAGCUGCAGCAAGCACUAGCAUAUAUGGUGGCUAACUUACGCAAAUGAGAGCGAGAAGAGAAGCAAAGCAAGGUCGUGAACUAGAAGUGAUCAAGAAGUGAUUCUGAAACUACUUACGUUCAAACAUAACACAAGAACCAUGUUCACUUCCUGGACUCCGCCGAAAAGAGACCAUCACGGCUACACACGCGGUUGAUGCAUUUUAAUUAAGUUAAGUGUCAAGUUUUCUACAACCAGACAUUAACAAAUUCCCAUCUGCCCAUAACCGCGGGCACGGCUUUCGAAAGUUCAAACUCGGCAGGGGUGUUCCAACUUAGCCCAUCACAAGCUCUCACGGUCAACGAAGGAUAUUCCUUCUCCCGGGAACACCCGAUCAGACUCGGAAUCCCGGUUACAAGACAUUUUGACAAUGGUAAAACAAGACCAGCAAAGCCGCCCGAAUGUGCCGACAAAUCCCGAUAGGAGCUGCACAUAUCUCAUUCUCAGGGCACACCGGAUGAGCAGUCCGUACAACUAAAACCAACCCUCAAGUUUCCCCGAGAUGGCGCUGCAAGGGGCUCUAGUUUGGACCAACACUCAGAGGAGCACUGGNNNNNNNNNNNNNNNNNNNNNNNNNNNNNNNNNNNNNNNNNNNNNNNNNNNNNNNNNNNNNNNNNNNNNNNNNNNNNNNNNNNNNNNNNNNNNNNNNNNNNNNNNNNNNNNNNNNNNNNNNNNNNNNNNNNNNNNNNNNNNNNNNNNNNNNNNNNNNNNNNNNNNNNNNNNNNNNNNNNNNNNNNNNNNNNNNNNNNNNNNNNNNNNNNNNNNNNNNNNCCUCGGGCUCCAGAAACCCGAGGGAAAAAGGCUUAGGUGGAAAAUGGUAAAAUCAAGGUUGGACCUUGCUGGAGGAGUUUUAUUCAAAGUGAACUGUCAAGGGGUUCCCAUUAUAACCCAACCGCGCAAGGAACGCAAAAUCAAGGAACAUAACACCGGUAUGACGGAAACUAGGGCGGCAAGAGUGGAACAAAACACCAGGCAUAAGGCCGAGCCUUCCACCCUUUACCAAGUAUAUAGAUGCAUUAAUUAAACAAAAUAUAUAGUGAUAUCCCAACAAUAUCCAUGUUUCAAACAUGGAACAAACUUCAUCUUCACCUGCAACUAGCAACGCUAUAAGAGGGGCUGAGCAAAGCGGUAACAUAGCCAAACAACGGUUUGCUAGGACAAGGUGGGUUAGAGGCUAGACAUGGCAAUAUGGGAGGCAUAAUAAAGCAAGUGGUAGGUAUCGCGGCAUAGCAAAAGAGCGAGCAACUAGCAAGCAAAGAUAGAAGUGAUUUCAAGGGUAUGGUCAUCUUGCCUGAGAUCCCACAAGGAAGAAGAACGAGUCCAUGGAGAAGACAAACGGACGUAGUCGAACGGAUCCUCACAAACGCGACGUUAACGGAACUAACCCGAAGAAGCAACACCAAAAAGAAGCAAACCACAUAGUAAACAACCAUCACAUAAUCAUGGCAUGAUGCACAAUCAAGUAUGAUGCAUGUCCAGUUUAAUGAGGCAUGGCAUGGCAAAGUGCACUAGCAAAACUACAAGUUAGGUGGAGCUCAAUAUGCAAUGAGUUGCAUAUUGACGAAACACCACAAGACUUAUUUAGUUCUCUCUCGUUUAGGUACCCAUCAAUAUUAAAUGUUGUUGAACAAGUAAAGAGGUGAAGCAUAAGAAAACUACCUAUCUAGGCAAGUUUAAAUGAGGCCGGAUAUAGCAAACAACAAAUCCAGAAAAUCCUCAUGUGCAAUAUUUGAAUUUGGUACUGUUCUGCCCUAAACACCAUUUUAGAGUUAUUAAACAUGCAAAGUAAUGCCACCAUGAUAAACUAUGCAUUUUUCUACCCCAUUUACAUAUAAAGUUUAUUAAAUUUGGAGCUACGGUUAUUUAGUUAUGAAUUAAAUCAUUUUAACAUGGCAAUAUGGCAAAAUAUAGGCAAACAUCAUUUUAGCCAUUUUAAACAUAGAUGCAAGUUGCAAAUUAUUAAUCUACACAAAAUUCUAAGCAAGUUUCAUAUAUUAAGUUUUUACAUGUGAUGCAUGGUUGGUGAGUUAUUAAAUGCAUGAUCUAAAGGGACUUUUCUGCAAAUAUGUAAUUCCUGGGAAAAGAACAAAUUCGCUGAAAGGGAAAAAAUAAAGUGGGCCAAAUCUGCUGGACUAGGCCAACAGAGGAGGAGCUGCGGGGAGCUCACCCAUGGGCCAAGGCCCGGUCAAUGGAGCAGGCUGCAGAGGGGUGUUGGCGCGCUGGGCCUUGCGCAGUGUUGGGCCUCACAGGCCGGUCCAACGUGCUAGCGAUGCAGGGUGUUGAGGCACUCAUCCUCCUCGUGUCUGGCGCAGGCGCAGGAGCAUGAGAAAGGGACGGCGGCGCCCGAAGUCAAUGGCAGGGCGGCAGCGACUCCGGCAGGCGAGGGCGGCGAGGAGGACCGGAGGGGAACGGAUCCGGGCAGAUCCCGCUGCGGAGGCUCCAUUCCCGGCGAUGACGAAGCAGAUCGGCAGGGUCGAGUUGGAGCCAUGGCUUCCUGCGGGACAGAGAGAAAGAGAAGAUUGAGAGACCGGGAGAGAGCAGGGAAAGGAAGGAGGCGAGGCAGGGGCGACGCGACCUGGCUGGAGGCGGCCUGGUGAAGGUGCUCGCCGGCGGGGGAGGCAGCUCCGGCGAGGCGGGGCAGGACCCUCCGUUCCCUCGAUCCAGCGGGUAGAGGAGAGAACGGCUCAGGCGUGCGGGGAGCCUGCAGGCAAGGGAGGAGUUCGUCCGGGCCCAGAUGGGCUCGGGCGGGCCGUGGAUGGGCCUGGCGCGGUGGAGGAAAGGACCGGGGCGACAUGGCGGCUUGGUACUGGCCACGUGCGGCACUAGGUGGUGGCGCAGCCAAUGGCUACGUGCCAAGUGGCAGGGACGAGGUGGAGGGCGCCGGAAAACAAGGAGGAUGGCGGCGGCGGCUGGUUAGGAUGGCAUGGGAAACGAGGGAGGAGAGGGAUGACCAGAUUUGGAAGGGGGAGGUGGUUUAAAUAGGCAGGUUUAGGGUUUAGGGGGGAUUUGGGUGGUUUCCAGACCCUUGGAUCGCGAUCAUACGGCUACAGACAGAGGGGGACUAGAUGGGCUGCAGGUGAGUGGUAGUGGACCAUGCAGAAAGCCUUGGGAUGAGAUAACAGAAGAGAAAGUAAAGCAGCCCGGCAACGGUUUCCGGAGACUGAAAACGUCCGACGUUUUGACCGACUAUAAUGUCGCUAUAGUUAUCCGUUGGGGCAUCAAACGAUCUCCGAAUGCGAUGAAAUUUCGCAGGCGGCCUACCUACAACAUAAAAACACUGCAUGCCAACUUUCAACCCAUUCCGAGAACAUUUUUCGACCACUUAUAAAAUAAUAUUUCGGAGGUGCCGCAUGCGCGUGCAAGUGUGUCUGGGCUCAGAACGGACAACGGAAAGAAUGAGGAGACCGGGACAGAUGCAAGUUUUGAAAAACAUGCAGAUGCAAUGCACAUGAUGACAUGGCAAGACGCAACACGCAAGAAACUGACAUGACAAAGACAACAAAUAACUGGAAGACACCUGGCGCAUCGGUCUCGGGGCGUCACAACACUCCACCACUGCGAGAGGAUCUCGACCCGAGAUCCUAGGGAUGGCACCGGAGGGAAAAGGAAGAGGAACAGGUGAGGUGAAACUAAGUUAUUUCUUGGACAAACGAGUGAAGCCACGAACCUUGAGAGGUUGAACAAAUUUGAAAGAAAGAAUACAACAAAGAUGAACAAAGUUGAAAACCUCCGUUAGAAAAGAGGAACAAGGAACAUUACGAGAACCUUGUAGGUUGAAAGACAACUGAAAAGGAUUGCAAUGGACAAUAAGUACAUGCAAACACUCUGGUAGAACGAGAUGCACAAGGAACGAUAAGGAUCAAUUACGACAACACUCCGGUUGGAAAUGGAAGGUAAAGAAUAUGAGCUUGGCAAAAUGAAAGCACUUGGAUGAGAGUCCAGUUAGAAGAGGAAUAAUAGCCACAACACUCCGGUUAAAACAAGAUAGAGAAGGAAAAAUGAUAUAAUUUGGACAGCACUCCGACUGAAAAAAAGGAAUUGGAUAAGAACUUGAUAAGAUUGGAUGAUACUUGACAAAAUCAAUAACACACUGCCUUCGGAACUAUUGAAAGAAUGGCACAAGGGGUAAGAAAGAUUUCAGACAGCACUCCGGUUGAGAAGGGAGGCAAAAACUUGAUAAGAUGAGAGAACUUGAAAAGAGGGCACGACACUCCGGUUAAAUGGAUAAGCACGAAAAGAACAUGGUCCUAACAAUCCGAGAUGAUGAGUGAAGAGAGCAACAUCACAAUGCCUCCGAAACAAAUGAAUGGGAAACUAGAUGGUUGGAAAGAAAAAGAACGGAGAAGACGAAUGACAACUCUCGCAAAUAAAAUUGAAAGAGCAUGCUUACGACGAAAAGGUUGAAAGGAGUUGUUGGAAAACCAACAAUGAAAAGAGUAAGCUUGUUGUGGGCUUAUGGAAAACAUCUCGAAAACUUGAGGUGAAAUUCUGCCACUAAUGGAAACAAUAGAUUGGAUUGAUAUGAACAAGGAGACGAGAAACUUAUUUCACCGGGAGGAUAAGUGAAGAACUUGGGUCAUUUAUAAGCACCGUGAUAGCAACAAUCCUUCGGGAAAGCUUUAGGUGAAAUAUAACCCAAGAUAACUCCAAUGAAGAGAUUGAUGGGUUGCAAAGAAACUCAUGAACGAAUUGAAAAUGAUGGGUUUAAAAUAUGUCAUUCCAGACAAUUUGUGAAUCAUGAAGCAUGAAGGGAAAUUGUCAAAAAAGACAUAACACCACCUGAAAAGAUAAGAUAGAAAGAAUUGCACUUCGGAAUGCAAGAUGAAGAAUACUUGAGCUCCUUUAAAAAGAAUCUCGAUGAACACUUCGAGAAGGAAUUAAAUCCUUGAUGAGCCAUCAUGUAGAGCCUCCCUAAAGAACUCCGGUAAUAAAAAAGGAUAACAAAAGGAAAGAGAAGUUGAAAACACAAGGUGAAGCCUUGCAAUGAUUAGAUGGAGCUUCGCAAUGACAUAAUUGAGAGAUCUUGGAACUCCGGUAACAAAAGAAAGAUGAAACAAUUGAAACCGAGAAUUGACUCAUCAUGAACAAACUCCAGAAGAAUGAAUCCAUCAUUAGGAUGAAGCAAGAAUAAGAAUUAUGUUAUGCGUAUCCUUCACCAAUUAAAUUGAUGACAAGCAACAUAUUUGGCAUACUACUUAUUCUCGUAGAAAGGAUUAAGAGAGAUAUAGCGCAGACUUGAGAAAGGUCUUCAACGAACCACUGGUAGGAUUGCAAAGAACAAAUGAAUUGAUAUGAUAAGGAAGGAAGAGAGAUCUUGAACGAAACACCGUAAGAAUUGAAAAUGAACGAGUAAAAGAUGAAGAAACACCGGGAAGGAUUAGCAAAUAAACAAAGAUGCUUGAGAGAAUUUAGAUACAUGAGAACGAAGAGAUGAAGAGCUGAUUAGAGAACACUUGAACGAUGCACCGGUAAGAUUUAGAGAAUGAGAGCUGAAAACUGAGAAUGAAUAAUUCUUCUGAAGUGAUGGCCUUUAGAGGAAAGAAAUGAAAACAACUUAUGAAAUGCUCCGGAUGGAUGGAAGAAUUCUCACAAUCAAAACAAUUAUGAGAGGAUGGCAGCAAGCUAGAACCAUGAAUCUUUGGAAGAACGGAUAAGAAUUUAAGAGGAACUCUUCUUCGGUCUUGUUGAGAAUGAUGAUGAGAAACACCACCAUGAAUUAUUGAGAUACUCCGGGAUGGAAAUUAAAAAGGUUGAACCAAACGAUGAAAAGAAUUUGAAAGAUUUUGGAGAAAGACAUAUGACUGAUGAUAAUUCAUUCUUACGUCAAACUUGGAAAAUAAUUUGAGAGUAACUCCGGGAAGAUUAGAAGAGUCAGGUAAGAUCCUGGGAAAAGACCUGUGGGUUAGGGCCCACUCAAAGAAAACACCAUCGAACGAUUACUUGAAAAGAGAGAUUGCACCGGUUGAAUUAAAUGGCUUGAAUGAGAUAACAAUAUCGAAAUAACUUGAACGAUUGAGAAUGGCAACGCGAAUCUUUCGAGAUAUCUUCAACACAACGGAACAAAUGAAUGGCGAGAAGCGGAUGAUUAAGAGGUGCACCGGCAUGAGAAAGCAUUUGAAACGAGGAAAAUGAUAUGAUCAACAAAGCUUGAAUUGGAUCCACCGGAGAAGAAAGAGAACGAAGAAUGUUGAACUUGUAGAGCAUCUUCACGAGAACCACCGAGUAAGAAUAUUGACGGAAAAGAAUGGAGAGACUUCUCAUCAAUAACAUGAUAGUUGAUUAAGAAAUCCGAAUCCUUGAAGGAAAAGGGUGGGAGGGUGGGAAAAUAAAGACAAUUUGGGACGAAUGAAAUAAACACCGUUGAGAAUAAUUAGAGUUGGUCUUGCGGAUGUUGAAAAUGAACGGAUCCACUUGAAGUGAAGCUCACCGGUUGAAAAGGAUUGACAUGACAAUCUCGAUUAUCAAGAAGGAUUGGUAUUCACAUAGAAGUAUGAGAACACCACUUGGAAAAGGUAUGGAAACACAUUUGACAUUGAAGCAACUCGAAUAGCACAACAAAAACAAAACAAAGGAUUGGCUUGCAGAAUAAGCCGGAAACAAACAUAUGAUAGAUCCCAUAUCGUAUCAUGUGUCUGUUGGAAAGAUUGUUCUAGGAGCUACUUGAAUUCCCACUUAUAAACUCCCGAAACUUUCUGGUUAUGCAAUCAGGUAUUGGGGAUACAGGGGAAGCAUAAUAUCUCACCCAAAACUAACAAAUCCUACAUCCAGCUGUAUCCAUCCUUCAACACAUAACCAAGAAACCUUCGGAAAUCAUUUACCUCAACCUUCGAAAAGCAUCCGUUAUACGAGUUAUGGCAAUACUCCCGAACUCCCGCCCCAGUACUGGGUGGCGUCGAGGUUAUCUCACCAACAACUGCAUAAAAGAGAUUUUUGAUGUCGGCGAAACUCAGGUAUUCCAGAACUGCAACGAUAAAAUUGUGAUGACAACACCUCGGAGCUCAACUCCCCGGGACACUGCCACAACCCCUAAAUGUCAGGAGGCACCAAGAACAAUAUUCUUGUCACAAAACCAUCGGAAUGAUUCCAAGAUACCCGCGUGAUCCUAAAUUUUUUUAGUGAAAUUUGAGAAGAGAAGAGUCAAAACUCUACGUCAGGAGGCCUCACCAGAGCGACGAAGGGACCGAGGAGUAAAAAGAAUCCUAUUCUCUGAUAUAUAUAAUCCUAUAAGACUCAAAACAUUUUUUCUAGACUCAACAACGCCAGCGAUUCGAUCAAGUACGGGGCUUCUAAGUCGGGGAAGGCUCUGAUUACCAACUUGUAACACCCACGAUGCGGCUAUAUCUCCCACGUGUCAGAGAACGACUUAGAGGCAUGACCGCAUUGUAGGCAUGUUGCAAGAGGGGUAAUCUUUGCACAUCCCAUGUAAUGAAUAAGAAUGAGAUAAGGAGUUGGCUUACAACCGCCACUUCACACAAAACAUAAAUAUAGCAUUACAUCAUCUAGAAUACAAUCAAGGUCCGACUACGGAACCAAAUAAAGAAAGACAACCCCUAAUGCUAGAUCCCCGAUCGCCCCGACUGGGCUCCACUACUGAUCGAAAGGAAACGAAACAACACAACAAACACGAUCUUCAUCGAGCUCCCACUUGAGCUCGGUUGCGUCACCUGCACGGUUAUCAUCGGCACCUGCAACUGUUUGAAGUAAUCUGUGAGUCACAAGGACUCAGCAAUCUCAUACCCGCGAGAUCAAGACUAUUUAAGCUUAUGGGUAGGGAAGGGUAGUAAGGUGGAGCUGCAGCAAGCACUAGCAUAUAUGGUGGCUAACUUACGCAAAUGAGAGCGAGAAGAGAAGCAAAGCACGGUCGUGAACUACAAGUGAUCAAGAAGUGAUCCUGAAACUACUUACAUUCAAGCAUAACGCAAGAACUGUGUUCACUUCCCGGACUCCGCCGAAAAGAGACCAUCACGGCUACACACGCGGUUGAUGCAUUUUAAUUAAGUUAAGUGUCAAAUUUUCUACAACCGGACAUUAACAAAUUCCCAUCUGCCCAUAACCGCGGGUAUGGCUUUCGAAAGUUCAAACUCGGCAGGGGUGUUCCAACUUAGCCCAUCACAAGCUCUCACGGUCAACGAAGGAUAUUCCUUCUCCCGGGAACACCCGAUCAGACUCGGAAUCCCGGUUACAAGACAUUUCGACAAUGGUAAAACAAGACCAGCAAAGCCGGCCGAUGUGCCAACAAAUCCCGAUAGGAGCUGCACAUAUCUCAUUCUCAGGGCACACCGGAUGAGCAGUCCGUACAACUAAAACCAACCCUCAAGUUUCCCCGAGGUGGCGCUGCAAGGGGCUCUAGUUUGGACCAACACUCAGAGGAGCACUGGCCCGGGGGGGGGGGGUUAAAAUAAAGAUGACCCUCGGGCUCCAGAAACCCGAGGGAAAAAGGCUUAGGUGGCAAAUGGUAAAAUCAAGGUUGGGCCUUGCUGGAGGAGUUUUAUUCAAAGUGAACUGUCAAGGGGUUCCCAUUAUAGCCCAACCACGUAAGGAACGCAAAAUCCAGUAACAUAACAACGGUAUGAUGGAAACUAGGGUGGCAAGAGUGGAACAAAACACCAGGCAUAAGGCCGAGCCUUCCACUCUUUACCAAGUAUAUAGAUGAAAAGAAAAUAUAUAUAGUGAUAUCCCAACAAUAUCCAUGUUCCAAACAUGGAACAAACUUCAUCUUCACCUGCAACUAGCAAUGCUAUAAGAGGGGCUGAGCAAAGCGAUAACAUAGCCAAACAAUGGUUUGCUAGGACAAGGUGGGUUAGAGGCUGGACAUGGCAAUAUGGGAGGCAUGAUAAAGCAAGUGGUGGGUAUCCCCGCAUAGCAAAAGAGCGAGCAACUAGCAAGCAAAGAUAGAAGUGAUUUUGAGGGUAUGGUCAUCUUGCCUGAGAUCCCGCAAGGAAGAAGAACGAGUCCAUGGAGAAGACAAACGGACGUAGUCGAACGGAUCCUCACAAACGCGAUGUUAACGGAAC